ensembl:lncRNA
CCACGCGCCCCUCCCCCGGUCGGCUCCCGGUCGCUGUCAAAGCCGAGGGACGACGAGGAGGUCGCUGGGGCCCCGGGGAGGCUGUGGUCCUCUGCCCCGUCCGCCGUGGAGGAGGAGGAGGAGGAGGAGGAAGAGAAGACAGAAGAGCGGCGCCCCGAGUCCGGGAAAGCGGGGCUGUCCCGGGGGGUGGAGGCCCGGGGGAGAGCAGGGUUGUCCUGCAGGGUCGUGGCCUGGGUGCUGCCCCGCUGUGCGCCCCUGGCUAGGGCGCUCACCUUCAGCUGCCACCCGCUGUCCCCAGCGGCCACUCGGCCGGUGCCUUCCAUCCUGAGCCCUCGCCUGGCUUCCAGUGACAGGGAGAGUCGGUGCGGAGUGCCCGGGCUGCCCUGGAGGGACAGUGGGGCCCCGGCAGCGGGGACCGUGGGCCCCUCUACCUCUGCUGCCACCUCCCAGGAUUUCAGCCCCGGUGUGGCAGCCGUGGCCAGACCGAGGGACCUGGCGGCAGAGGGGCUCUGAGGCCGGGGGGCUGCGGCUCCGGCUGAGACCGCGGCCAGCGUCCUGCAGCUGAGCUGUCCUAUCCAGCAGCUGACCUGGCACCGUGCUCGGCUGGGGACAAGAGUGCCAUCAGCCCCGGAAGCAGCAGCAUCCGUAGGUCGACCCCUGAACUCCCAGAAAUGAAAAGAAAGCAUGAGCUGCUUCUCCUGAAGCCUUGUUCUUUUCCUGGAUGGGGCGAGAGAGGGUCACGUCAUUCCUGAAAUAGUUUUAGUGACCAUUCCCUACUCAUAUGGGAACCACGCUUGAGGGUAGAGGGAAGGAGGCCCUGAGAGGUGGAAAGAGAAGGUUGAGGGUGGCGGCACGCGGCUCCCGGUUCAAGUCCACCGAAUGCUCGACGUAAUCUAUCGCACAGAUGUCCGGCAGGUGUGCAGUUAUUCCUGACUCAUUGGCACACCCGCCAAAGCCUCUGAUUUAGAUGGAUUUUCCCUUGUUCUGAAACACAAUUCAAAUGUACUGUGCCUCCAAUUCAUUAAGGACACUGCGGAAAUACUUCCAAAAAAAUCUCCACUUUUACAUAUGACAGCUUUGUAUUUGCCUCAAAAUCUGUGCAUUUUCUUUUCUCUUUGGAGAGCCAAGUCAGAUGAGUUCCGACAGUAAAAAUCUUCAUAGAAAAAAAAAUUUCAUCUGUCUUUCCCCCAAGUUAUGCUCUGUGAGCCAUAACUUGUUUCAAAAAAGGAAAAAUCCCCUCUAGAACCCGUACUCCAGCUACUCAAAGUAUAAAUGGACAGUUUUCAAAGACAUUGAACUUAACACUUUAAAUGUUAAAUUACCGUCACAAAAAAGAGCACAUAGGCCAGUACUUACUUCAAACCCCUACCAUAUCUAAUCCAUUUCAAAAACGGUUUCCUGAACUUUAAAACCAUGGCAAGACAAUAAACUCCCAAUUAAAUAUAGCUUGGGCUGCAGGCUCACGAUUAGGUUACGCUGGCUGCAUUCCAGGCCCGCAGGGAAGAACAAGGAACAUGCUUACCCUUCAUAAGUACAGUGCGGCUUGGAGGGAGAUUCAGAGAGGAAACGGGAGCUGCUGGCAUGCCCCUCGGGAGCGGAGCCAGGAGCCCAGCUCCUGGGCCCAAGGCCACAUCACUGCAGAUGAGCCAAUGGCUGUGCCUGAGUCUGCCAGCACCCACGGCGGGGGUCCACGCUGGCCACCCUCCGAGCAGUGCCUGGGCACAUGCCUUGAAAACAUGGUCUAAGGAAAGAUGGAGACAACGGGUCCAGGGACGGGCACAAAGCCAAGCUCAAGGUGGAGAGCAAUAGAAGAAAAAGAAGAAGCUGCACCAAAACUUAGUUUCCUGUGGAUAAUAAUUACAUGUAUGGUUUAUAUAGUGUUCACUGUGUCCUAGGAGCUACUCCAAACACUUUUUGAUGUAUGUAUUUUAUUUAAUUCUCAUAAAAACCUGACAAGUUAAGUUUGAUUAUUGUACUGAUUUUACAGAUGGGAAACUGAGGCACAGAAAUGAUAGGAAAUUGUGCAGCAGAAUUCAAACCCAGGCAGUCUGGCUGCAGAGCUGGCAUCUUAACCAGGAUGCUACACCAUCAGGCUGACUUCUGCACUGUCAUACUCAUGGGGCACCCAGACCAUCAGUUGGAAGGACUGACUUAGCCACUAUGUGACCACAAAUUAACUUUGAGAUGUUUUUCAUGCAAUCAACCUGUGUACACAUUGUGCACUCAGGGAUUAAGGCACAUGGUCCUAUAAAUAAAAUGAAAUAAAAUAUAGUUGGCACCUUCAGGCAAGCAAAGUAUUUUCAGUUUCCUGUGUUAAUUUUUGCUUUGAGGCUGGUAACCUUGACCAGUAAACUUGUUGAGGUCUUCCAGCUCUGAGAGGCACACACGCUCCAUAGCUGAGCGGAGGCAGAGUUUCCGCCCAUCAGGCAAUUACAGUCAAGGAGGAGUUGGUGCAGCACUUGCCAUAUGCCCCUGUCUGUCAUGAAAACACAAAGAUCUCAGCAGUUCUCCCCCCCAGUUGGCAAACUGUAAAACUGGAAGGUCAGAUGCCUGAGAUGUAGGCUAAACCCUAACCACCAAAUACCCAAGGUUCUGAAAGUCUUCUUCCAGAGUGUUGCCCCUCAGUCCUAGCCAGAGAAGCAAACAGAAAGUGGUUUUAAAACUUAAUUUGUAUUUUGGGCCGGGGAUUUAGCUCAGUGGUUCCGCUCCCUGCCUCGCAAGUGCAAGGACCCAGGUUCGAUCCCUGGUACCUAAAAAAUAAAAAUUAAAACGUACUCACCUCCAAAAC